rnacentral:rRNA from 1 species
UUCCGUAGGUGAACCUGCGGAAGGAUCAUUAAUGAAAUAUAAGUCGGUCAGUUGUGCUGGCAGCAAUGCAUGUGCACACUGGUCGCAAUCCACCCACACCUGUGAACUAUUACUUGGAACCAUGGCUGGAAACAACCUGGACCUCCGAGGCAUUUUUACACUCUGAAUGUAAUGGAAUGUCGCUGUACAAUGUACAAAUUUUAAACAACUUUCAACAACGGAUCUCUUGGCUCUCGCAUCGAUGAAGAACGCAGCGAAAUGCGAUAAGUAAUGUGAAUUGCAGAAUUCAGUGAAUCAUCGAAUCUUUGAACGCACCUUGCACCCUUUGGUAUUCCGAAGGGUACACCCGUUUGAGUGUCAUUGUAAUCUCACUUCAACUCUUUUGUUGAAUGUGGACUUGGACGUUGCCGUGUCACAACGGCUCGUCUCAAAUGCUUGAGUGUACCCUGCUUUGCAGCGUAUUCGGUGUGAUAACAUCUUCACCGGAGUCAGUCGCAAGACACGCUUUGCCUGGUUGGCUCUAUGCUUCAAACCGUCUUUGGACAAACUCUGACAAUUUGACCUCAAAUCGGGUGGGACUACCCGCUGAACUUAAGCAUAUCAAU